UACGUAGGUGGCAAGCGUUGUCCGGAUUAUUGGGUUUAAAGGGUGCGUAGGCGGCCCUGUAAGUCAGUGCUGAAAUAUCCCGGCUUAACCGGGAGGGUGGCAUUGAUACUGCGGGGCUAGAGUACAGAUGAGGUAGGCGGAAUUGACGGUGUAGCGGUGAAAUGCUUAGAUAUCGUCAAGAACACCUAUAGCGAAGGCAGCUUACUAGGCUGUAACUGACGCUGAGGCACGAAAGUGUGGGGGAUCAAACAGG
rnacentral:rRNA from 1 species